UACGUAGGGUGCGAGCGUUAAUCGGAAUUACUGGGCGUAAAGCGUGCGCAGACGGCUGUGCAAGACAGGUGUGAAAUCCCCGGGCUUAACCUGGGAACUGCACUUGUGACUGCAUCGCUGGAGUGCGGCAGAGGGGGAUGGAAUUCCGCGUGUAGCAGUGAAAUGCGUAGAUAUGCGGAGGAACACCGAUGGCGAAGGCAAUCCCCUGGGCCUGCACUGACGCUCAUGCACGAAAGCGUGGGGAGCAAACAGG
rnacentral:rRNA from 1 species